AGAGUUUGAUCAUGGCUCAGGACGAACGCUGGCGGUGUGCCUAAUACAUGCAAGUCGAGCGAAGAGGCCCUUUCGGGGGUACUUCAGCGGCGGACGGCUGAGUACAACAUAGGUAACGUGCCCAAAACUGGGGGAUAACACCGGGAAACCGGUGCUAAUACCGCAUAAGUGCCAGGUUGAAAUACCUGUCAUUAAAGAUUUAUCGGUUUUGGAUCGGCCUGUGCAGGAUUAGCUUGUUGGUAGGGUAAAAGCCUACCAAGGCGAUGAUCCUUAGUUGGUCUGAGAGGAUGACCAGCCAGAGUGGGACUGAGACACGGCCCACACUCCUACGGGAGGCAGCAGUAGGGAAUAUUGCGCAAUGGGCGAAAGCCUGACGCAGCAACACCGCGUGGAGGAUGAAGUUUCUAGGAACGUAAACUCCUGUCAGCAGGGAAUAAUUAUGACUGUACCUGCAGAGGAAGCACCGGCUAACUACGUGCCAGCAGCCGCGGUAAUACGUAGGGUGCAAGCGUUGUCCGGAUUUAUUGGGCGUAAAGAGUUCGUAGGUGGUGGCUUAAGUCUGGUGUUAAAUACCGAAGCUCAACUUCGGCAUGGCAUUGGAAACUGGGUCGCUAGAGUCCGUCAGAGGUAACUGGAAUUCCUGGUGUAGCGGUGAAAUGCGUAGAUAUCAGGAGGAACACCGGUGGCGAAAGCGAGUUACUGGGACGGUACUGACGCUGAGGAACGAAAGCCUGGGUAGCGAAAGGGAUUAGAUACCCUAGUAGUCC
rnacentral:rRNA from 1 species